rnacentral:rRNA from 1 species
UGAGCAAUCUGCCCUUCUCAUCGGAAUAAGCGUUGGAAACGACGUCUAAUGCCGAAUACGACCUCCUUUCGCAUGAUCGGAGGUGGAAAGCUCCGGCGGAGAAGGAUGAGCUCGCGGCCUAUCAGCUAGUUGGUGUGGGUAAUGGCCCACCAAGGCGACGACGGGUAGCCCGGCCUGAGAGGGUGACCGGCCACACUGGGACUGAGACACGGC